GAUGAACGCUGGCGGCGUGCCUAAUACAUGCAAGUCGAGCGAACGGACGAGAAGCUUGCUUCUCUGAUGUUAGCGGCGGACGGGUGAGUAACACGUGGAUAACCUACCUAUAAGACUGGGAUAACUUCGGGAAACCGGAGCUAAUACCGGAUAAUAUUUUGAACCGCAUGGUUCAAAAGUGAAAGACGGUCUUGCUGUCACUUAUAGAUGGAUCCGCGCUGCAUUAGCUAGUUGGUAAGGUAACGGCUUACCAAGGCAACGAUGCAUAGCCGACCUGAGAGGGUGAUCGGCCACACUGGAAAUGAGACACGGUCCAGACUCCUACGGGAGGAAGCAGUAGGGAAUCUGCCGCAAUGGGCGGAAGCAUGACGGAGCAACGCCGCGUGAGUGAUGAAGGUCUUCGGAUCGUAAAACUCUAUUAUUAGGGAAGAACAUAUGUGUAAGUAACUGUGCACAGCUUGACGGUACCUAAUCAGAAAGCCACGGCUAACUACGUG
rnacentral:rRNA from 1 species